rnacentral:rRNA from 1 species
GGUGAGUAACACGUGAGGAACCUGCCCUGGAGUGGGGGACAACAGUUGGAAACGACUGCUAAUACCGCAUAAGCCCACAGCACCGCAUGGUGCAGAGGGAAAAGGAGCAAUUCGCUUCAGGAUGGCCUCGCGUCCAAUUAGGUAGAUGGUGAGGUAACGGCCCACCAUGCCGACGAUUGGUAGCCGGACUGAGAGGUUGAACGGCCACAUUGGGACUGAGACACGGCCCAGACUCCUACGGGAGGCAGCAGUGGGGAAUAUUGCACAAUGGGGGAAACCCUGAUGCAGCGACGCCGCGUGGAGGAAGAAGGUUUUCGGAUUGUAAACUCCUGUCUUCGGGGACGAUAAUGACGGUACCCGAGGAGGAAGCCACGGCUAACUACGUGCCAGCAGCCGCAGUAAAACGUAGGUGGCAAGCGUUGUCCGGAAUUACUGGGUGUAAAGGGAGCGCAGGCGGGUCGGCAAGUUGGAGGUGAAAGCUGUGGGCUCAACCCACAAACUGCCUUCAAAACUGCCGGUCUUGAGUGGUGUAGAGGUAGGCGGAAUUCCCGGUGUAGCGGUGGAAUGCGUAGAUAUCGGGAGGAACACCAGUGGCGAAGGCGGCCUACCGGGCACUAACUGACGCUGAGGCUCGAAAGCAUGGGUAGCAAACAGGAUUAGAUACCCUGGUAGUCCAUGCCGUAAACGAUGAUUACUAGGUGUGGGAGGAUUGACCCCUUCCGUGCCGCAGUUAACACAAUAAGUAAUCCACCUGGGGAGUACGACCGCAAGGUUGAAACUCAAAGGAAUUGACGGGGGCCCGCACAAGCAGUGGAGUAUGUGGUUUAAUUCGAAGCAACGCGAAAAACCUUGCCAGGUCUUGACAUCCGACGCAUAGUGCAGAGAUGCAUGAAGUCCUUCGGGACGUCGAGACAGGUGGUGCAUGGUUGUCGUC